rnacentral:rRNA from 1 species
CCUACGGGAGGCAGCAGUGGGGAAUCUUGCGCAAUGGGCGAAAGCCUGACGCAGCAACGCCGCGUGCGGGAUGAAGGCCUUCGGGUUGUAAACCGCUUUUAACAGGAACGAAAAUGACGGUACCUGUAGAAUAAGGUGCGGCCAACUACGUGCCAGCAGCCGCGGUGACACGUAGGCACCAAGCGUUGUCCGGAUUUAUUGGGCGUAAAGAGCUCGUAGGCGGUUCGAUAAGUCGGGUGUGAAAACUCUGGGCUUAACCCAGAGACGCCACUCGAUACUAUUGUGACUAGAGUUCGGUAGGGGAGCGGGGAAUUCCUAGUGUAGCGGUGAAAUGCGCAGAUAUUAGGAGGAACACCGGUGGCGAAGGCGCCGCUCUGGGCCGAAACUGACGCUGAGGAGCGAAAGCGUGGGUAGCAAACAGGAUUAGAUACCCUGGUAGUCCACGCCGUAAACGGUGGGCACUAGGUGUGGGCUCCAACCAACGGAGUCCGCGCCGUCGCUAACGCAUUAAGUGCCCGCCUGGGAGUCGGCCGCAAGGUUAAACUUAAAGGAAUUGACGGCGNGAGACGNGCGACGAACGACGACGAGGGAGUAG